rnacentral:pre_miRNA from 1 species
UGCAGUAGAUAGCUGGAGUUGCCCUACGACUGUGUGGAACGGUCCAGUCGUUGGGAAACUCAAGCCAUCGGGUGUUGUCAGU